rnacentral:rRNA from 1 species
CCAAUAGCGUAUAUUAAAGUUGUUGCAGUUAAAAAGCUCGUAGUUGAAUUUCGGGAUCAGUACGCUGGUCAUGCCUUUGGUAUGCACUGGUGUCACUGGUUUCUCCCUUCUGAAGAACCGUGAUGUCAUUAAUUUGGUGUCGCGGGGAAUCAGGACUGUUACUUUGAAAAAAUUAGAGUGUUUAAAGCAGGCUCACGCUUGAAUACAUUAGCAUGGAAUAAUGAAAUAGGACGUUUGACCCUAUUUUGUUGGUUUCUAGGAUCGACGUAAUGAUUAAUA